UUAUUUAUGGAGAGUUUGAUCCUGGCUCAGGAUGAACGCUGGCGGCGUGCCUAAUACAUGCAAGUCGAGCGAACAGACGG
rnacentral:rRNA from 1 species